rnacentral:rRNA from 1 species
GGACUACUGGGGUAUCUAAUCCUGUUUGCUCCCCACGCUUUCGUGUCUCAGCGUCAGUAUUCGUCCAGUUGGCCGCCUUCGCCGCCGGUGUUCCUCUCGAUAUCUACGAAUUUCACCUCUACACCGAGAAUUCCACCAACCUCUCCGAUACUCAAGUCGUGCGGUUUCGGGUGCACUUCCCAGGUUGAGCCUGGGGCUUUCACAUCCGACCUACAUGACCGCCUACACACGCUUUACGCCCAGUAAUUCCGAACAACGUUUGCACCCUCUGUCUUACCGCGGCUGCUGGCAC